rnacentral:tRNA from 1 species
AGGGGCAUAGUACAAUGGCUAGUAUAAAGGUCUCCAAAACCUUAGAUCUAGGUUCGAUUCCUAGUGCCCCUGCCA